UACGAAGGGGGCUAGCGUUGUUCGGAAUUACUGGGCGUAAAGCGCGUGUAGGCGGGUCUUUAAGUCAGGGGUGAAAUGCCAAGGCUCAACCUUGGAACUGCCUUUGAUACUGGAGAUCUUGAGUCCGGGAGAGGUGAGUGGAACUGCGAGUGUAGAGGUGAAAUUCGUAGAUAUUCGCAAGAACACCAGUGGCGAAGGCGGCUCACUGGCCCGGUACUGACGCUGAGGUGCGAAAGCGUGGGGAGCAAACAGGG
rnacentral:rRNA from 1 species